CCUACGGGGUGCAGCAGUGGGGAAUAUUGCACAAUGGGGGCAACCCUGAUGCAGCGACGCCGCGUGAGUGAAGAAGUAUUUCGGUAUGUAAAGCUCUAUUAGUAGGGAAGAAAAUGACGGUACCUGAUUAAGAAGCUCCGGCUAACUCCGUGCCAGCAGCCGCGGUAAUACGUAGGCGGCAAGCGUUAUCCGGAUUUACUGGGUGUAAAGGGAGCGUAGACGGGAGCACAAGUCAGGUGUGAAAUGCUGAGGCUUAACCCCAGAACUGCAUUGGAAACUGGGAAGCUAGAGUGCAGGUGAGGUAGGUGGAAUUCGUAGUGUAGCGGUGAAAUGCGUAGAUAUUAGGAGGAACACCGGUGGCGAAGGCAGCUUACUAGACUGUAACUGACGUUGAGGCUCGAAAGCGUGGGGAGCAAACAGGAUUAGAUACCCGGGUAGUC
rnacentral:rRNA from 1 species